rnacentral:lncRNA from 1 species
AAUGAAAAUUUUUUUUUUUCAACGCCACCUGUAUAUUUGUUGCCUCGGGUUAAUGAAAUUUUUUUUUUUUCAACGCCACCUGUAUAUUUGUUGCCUCGGGUUAAUGAAACUUUUUUUUUUCAACGCCACCUGUAUAUUUGUUGCCUCGGGUUAAUGAUAACUUUUUUUUUUCAACGCCAUAUGUAUAUUUGUUGCCUCGGGUUAAUGAUUUAGUUAAUUUGUUUUUUGUUUUUUUUUUGUUUGGAUAGAUAUGGAUCGAAGGAAGCUUUCAUUGAUCUUAUUGUUAGAGAUGUCUUAUU